rnacentral:misc_RNA from 1 species
UAGGCAGGUCUACUCUUGGCAUCC